GAGCUUACAUACACGUGGCUUUUAGGCUGCAGCCAAAGUGUUCCUCUAGAUCUGGAAGUCUGGAGAUGGUUGCAGUCUCCAAGCUCAGAUACAACCACCUAUUAGUCUGGCGCAACUGAUUUUUGUAAGUAUUAACAAAUUAGUUU